UUACCAGUUUGACAUAAAAGAGAUCCGCAAGGGACAGGUGGUGCAUGGCUGUCGUCAGCUCGUGUCGUGAGAUGUUGGGUUAAGUCCCGCAACGAGCGCAACCCUAUCAAUGUUGCCAGCACAUGGGACUCAUUGAGACUGCCGGGGUUAAUCGGAGGAAGGUGGGGAUGACGUCAAGUCCUCAUGCCCCUUAUGCUGGGCUGCAAACACGCUACAAUGGGAUACAAGGGGCUUCGCGAGAUUAGCAAUCCCGAAAUCGUCUCAGUUCGAAUUGAAGUCUGCAACUCGACUUCAUGAAGCUGGAGUUGCUAGUAAUCCCGAUCAGCACGCGGGGUGAAUACGUUCCCGGGCCUUGUACACACCGCCCGUCACACCACGAAAGUCGGAAACCAAA
rnacentral:rRNA from 1 species